UAAAGUAAAUUAAUGAGACAAUGCUACAGUAGCUGAAGUUCUUGGUUCUCUUUGGCAUUAAGACUGUUCUAAUCUCACUCUUACCAGUUAAGUAAAUUUUAUGGAGUGUAUUUGUAUGCUAUCACUGUUCUAAAAUCUCAACUAUAAAACAUAUGAAAUCCCAGUAGUUUUUAAAAUUUUAUUGAAAAUGUUCAAACAAAUAUUUUGGCAUUCACGAAAAAAAUGAGUUUGAAUCAAGCAAUAGGAAUCUUGCAACUUAGUACUGCGGUACUUUCCUUACUGACAUUUGUUAUCCUCUUUAUUUAUGGAAUAUAUCCCCAAGAACUGACAGUGCUUUACUUUCAAAUGGCAUGUGGAGCUCUGAGUCUAAUUAAUAUUCUCCUCAGUUCAGAAUCAAUCUUCUUCUUAAAAUCUUAUGACAAGCGAUCGAUUCGAAAUUCAUUGAUAUUUGGAAUUACAGUUACUGUAAUCUUUAGCAUCAUUAUGAUUGUAACAAGUCACAAUUUUUCUGUGGUUUAUCUUGGAAGUACAAUUAUGGAUUCGGAAACGGAUCUUUGGGAAAAUUUCAUUUUAAUUUUGUACAACUUUUGUUAUGUUUUAGGUAAUUUCAUUUUCUUUGUACUUCUCAUUACAUUUUUGCUCUUAAUAAUUUCACUUCAAAAAAAUUUGAACCCAGAAUAAAAUGUUAAACAAUAAUA